rnacentral:lncRNA from 1 species
CUGCACAACUCCAGGGAGAGUGUGCAUUGGUUUUCAGCAGUCCACUCCAUAAUCAUAUGAAUUGGAGAGAUAUAACUUGGACAUCUCUGGAGAGAUGCAGAACUGAGUGGAUGGGCAAGUGCUAACUGAAGGCACAGUGAAGCAGUUACUUCAAGGAGCAGUUGUUGGGAGGCAGAAAAACCAGCCUUGCAUUGGAGGACAGAGCUGUGUGCAAAGCAGACAGACGAUCCUGAACCCCUGA